rnacentral:rRNA from 1 species
GACGAACGCUGGCGGCGUGCUUAACACAUGCAAGUCGAACGGAAAGGCCCUCUUUUGUGGGGUGCUCGGGUGGCGAACGGGUGAGUAACACGUGAGUAACCUGCCCUUGACUUUGGGAUAACUUCAGGAAACUGGGGCUAAUACCGGAUAGGAGCUCCUGCUGCCUGGUGGGGGUUGGAAAGUUUCGGCGGUUGGGGAUGGACUCGCGGCUUAUCAGCUUGUUGGUGGGGUAGUGGCUUACCAAGGCUUUGACGGGUAGCCGGCCUGAGAGGGUGACCGGCCACAUUGGGACUGAGAUACGGCCCAGACUCCUACGGGAGGCAGCAGUGGGGAAUAUUGCACAAUGGGCGGAAGCCUGAUGCAGCAACGCCGCGUGCGGGAUGACGGCCUUCGGGUUGUAAACCGCUUUCGCCUGUGACGAAGCGUGAGUGACGGUAAUGGGUAAAGAAGCACCGGCUAACUACGUG